GAUGAAGAACGUAGCGAAAUGCGAUAAGUAAUGUGAAUUGCAGAAUUCAGUGAAUCAUCGAAUCUUUGAACGCACCUUGCGCCCUUUGGCCAUUCCGAAGGGCAUGCCUGUUUGAGUAUCAUGAACACCUCAACUCUUCAUGGUUUUCCAUGAUGAGCUUGGACUUUGGGGGUCUUGCUGGCCUGUGGGUCGGCUCCUCUCAAAUGAAUCAGCUUGCCGGUUUUUGGUGGGCAUCACAGGUGUGAUAACUAUCUACGCUUGUGGUUUUCCACCAGGGUAACCUUCAGCAGUGGAGGUUCACUGGAGCUUACAUAUGUCUCUCCUCUGUGAGGACAGCCCUUUGAAUGUUUGAUCUCAAAUCAGGUAGGACUACCCGCUGAACUUAAGCAUAUCAAUAAGCGGAGGA
rnacentral:misc_RNA from 1 species